rnacentral:rRNA from 1 species
ACGAACCGUCCAAACGUUAUUCGGUAUCACUGGGCUUAAAGAGUUCGUAGGCGGCCGGGUAGGUCAGGUGUGAAAUCCCACAGCUCAACUGUGGAACUGCGCUUGAAACCACACGGCUCGAGGGGGAUAGAGGUGAGCGGAACAGAUGGUGGAGCGGUGAAAUGCGUUGAUAUCAUCUGGAACACCGGUGGCGAAAGCGGCUCACUGGAUCCCUUCUGACGCUGAGGAACGAAAGCUAGGGUAGCGAACGGG